CCAGGCCCUGCAGACUCUCCCUCCCAUGUCUAGGCAGUCUGAGAAGAAGCAAUUUGGUGCAUGUGAAUUAUUCAGAGCAGUCAAAGUGAGAGGAAGGACUGAGGCAACCCAUCUAGAAACAGCCAGAAAAGAGAUCCCAGCUCGAAACCACUCAUAAGGUUCAUCUUGAAAACAAAUUAGCGACAGGAUUCUGGAUAACCCUGUGCUCUUCUGCAGGCUUUUCAAUUACUGGCCUGCUGACGUUCACCUCUGGCAACCCCCCUUCAUCACUGACUCCAGAGAGCAAAGGUCCUUUGGACUCGCUCAUGGUCCUGUCCCAGCCACACUUCCGGCCAGCUCAGCGCAGGGUGCCGCAGGGAUCCAGGCAUCUCCAUCUGUGAGCCUCCAGGGUCUCUGCA
rnacentral:lncRNA from 1 species